UACGGAGGGUGCUAGCGUUGUUCGGAAUUACUGGGCGUAAAGGGCGCGUAGGCGGCCGUUUGCGUCGGAUGUGAAAGCCCGGGGCUCAACCUCGGAACGGCAUUCGAUACGGGACGGCUGGAGACCGGGAGAGGAGAGUGGAAUAGCCAGUGUAGAGGUGAAAUUCGUAGAUAUUGGCUGGAACACCGGUGGCGAAAGCGGCUCUCUGGCCCGGUUCUGACGCUGAGGCGCGAAAGCGUGGGGAGCAAACAGG
rnacentral:rRNA from 3 species